AUACGUAGGGAGCGAGCGUUGUCCGGAAUUACUGGGUGUAAAGGGUGCGUAGGCGGGGAAGCAAGUCAGCAGUGAAAACUAUGGGCUUAACUCAUAACGUGCUGUUGAAACUGUUUUUCUUGAGUGAGUCAGAGGCAGGCGGAAUUCCCGGUGUAGCGGUGAAAUGCAUAGAGAUCGGGAGGAACACCAGUGGCGAAGGCGGCCUUCAGGGGUUUAACUGACGCUGAGGGACGAAAGCGUGGGGAGCGAACAGGAUUAGAUACCCUGGUAGUCCACGCUGUAAACGAUGAAUGCAAGGUGUAGGGGGUAUCGACCCCUCCUGUGCCGGAGUAAACGCAAUAAGCAUUCCGCCUGGGGAGUUCGGCCGCAAGGUUGAAUCUCAAAGGAAUUGACGGGG
rnacentral:rRNA from 1 species